rnacentral:rRNA from 1 species
UGGGGGAUAUUGCACAAUGGGGGAAACCCUGAUGCAGCGACGCCGCGUGAGGGAAGAAGGCCCUAUGGGUCGUAAACCUCUUUUGUCAGGGAACAAAAGCGAGUAUGUAUACUAGUCUGAGUGUACCUGAAGAAAAAGCAUCGGCUAACUCCGUGCCAGCAGCCGCGGUAAUACGGAGGAUGCGAGCGUUAUCCGGAUUUAUUGGGUUUAAAGGGUGCGUAGGCGGCGAUGCAAGUCAGCGGUAAAAGCCCGGGGCUCAACCCCGGCGAGCCGUUGAAACUGCAGUGCUAGAGAAGGCGAGAGGUACGCGGAAUGCGCAGUGUAGCGGUGAAAUGCUUAGAUAUUGCGCAGAACUCCGAUUGCGAAGGCAGCGUACUGGCGCCUGACUGACGCUGAGGCACGAAAGCGUGGGGAUCGAACAGGAUUAGAUACCC